ensembl:lncRNA
AUGCACUCACCUCCCUUCGGGGUAUUGCAAGGGGGAGGCCGAGAGAGUUCCCAGCCGGCAGCUCGUAUGGAGAGCCGGGGUCUCCAUCGCCUUCCUUCCUCCCCUGCCUGUCAGCUCUUCCCGGCUUCAGUCUCUUCAGGAAGGCGCUCCUCCAUCUCUGCUUCCAGCCUGGAAGGAGGAGGAAGAAGCCUGGGAGGGAGCUGCGCAUGCGCGCGCCGGGCUCGCGCCAUCUCUGGGGUCCCCGACGAGGCCCGGGCCUGCCAAGACUCAAACGUCUCAGGAGGAGACUGUUCCAAUGUUAAGUUCGGAAAAACCUGUCUAUUCCAACAUUAUUUGCUGAGGCUGAAAAGAUUGUUUUCUGCUUUGAGGGGCAUCUGUAGCCGGGACAACUUGAAACCCUAUUGCCAUUUGAAUUGA